UACGGGGGGGGCAAGCGUUGUUCGGAAUUACUGGGCGUAAAGGGCUCGUAGGUGGCCAACUAAGUCAGACGUGAAAUCCCUCGGCUUAACCGGGGAACUGCGUCUGAUACUGGAUGGCUUGAGUUCGGGAGAGGGAUGCGGAAUUCCAGGUGUAGCGGUGAAAUGCGUAGAUAUCAGGAAGAACACCCGUGGCGAAGGCGGCUCUCUGGGACGGUACUGACGCUGAGACGCGAAAGCGUGGGGAGCAAACAGG
rnacentral:rRNA from 1 species